AUUGAACGCUGGCGGCAUGCUUUACACAUGCAAGUCGAACGGCAGCGCGGGCUUCGGCCUGGCGGCGAGUGGCGAACGGGUGAGUAAUGCAUCGGAACGUGCCCAGUAGUGGGGGAUAGCCCGGCGAAAGCCGGAUUAAUACCGCAUACGACCUGAGGGUGAAAGCGGGGGACCGAAAGGCCUCGCGCUAUUGGAGCGGCCGAUGUCGGAUUAGCUAGUUGGUGGGGUAAAGGCUUACCAAGGCGACGAUCCGUAGCUGGUCUGAGAGGACGACCAGCCACACUGGGACUGAGACACGGCCCAGACUCCUACGGGAGGCAGCAGUGGGGAAUUUUGGACAAUGGGGGCAACCCUGAUCCAGCCAUGCCGCGUGCGGGAAGAAGGCCUUCGGGUUGUAAACCGCUUUUGUUCGGGAAGAAAUCCUCUGGGCUAAUACCCCGGGGGGAGGACGGUACCGGAAGAAUAAACACCGGCUAACUACGU
rnacentral:rRNA from 1 species